rnacentral:rRNA from 1 species
GACGAACGCUGGCGGCGUGCUUAACACAUGCAAGUCGAACGGAAAGGCCCUGCUUUUGUGGGGUGCUCGAGUGGCGAACGGGUGAGUAACACGUGAGUAACCUGCCCUUGACUUUGGGAUAACUUCAGGAAACUGGGGCUAAUACCGGAUAGGAGCUCCUGCAGCAUGGUGGGGGUUGGAAAGUUUCGGCGGUUGGGGAUGGACUCGCGGCUUAUCAGCUUGUUGGUGGGGUAGUGGCUUACCAAGGCUUUGACGGGUAGCCGGCCUGAGAGGGUGACCGGCCACAUUGGGACUGAGAUACGGCCCAGACUCCUACGGGAGGCAGCAGUGGGGAAUAUUGCACAAUGGGCGGAAGCCUGAUGCAGCAACGCCGCGUGCGGGAUGACGGCCUUCGGGUUGUAAACCGCUUUCGCCUGUGACGAAGCGUGAGUGACGGUAAUGGGUAAAGAAGCACCGGCUAACUACGUGCCAGCAGCCGCGGUGAUACGUAGGGUGCGAGCGUUGUCCGGAUUUAUUGGGCGUAAAGGGCUCGUAGGUGGUUGAUCGCGUCGGAAGUGUAAUCUUGGGGCUUAACCCUGAGCGUGCUUUCGAUACGGGUUGACUUGAGGAAGGUAGGGGAGAAUGGAAUUCCUGGUGGAGCGGUGGAAUGCGCAGAUAUCAGGAGGAACACCAGUGGCGAAGGCGGUUCUCUGGGCCUUUCCUGACGCUGAGGAGCGAAAGCGUGGGGAGCGAACAGGCUUAGAUACCCUGGUAGUCCACGCUGUAAACGGUGGGUACUAGGUGUGGGGUCCAUUCCACGGGUUCCGUGCCGUAGCUAACGCUUUAAGUACCCCGCCUGGGGAGUACGGCCGCAAGGCUAAAACUCAAAGGAAUUGACGGGGCCCCGCACAAGCGGCGGAGCAUGCGGAUUAAUUCGAUGCAACGCGUAGAACCUUACCUGGGUUUGACAUGGAUCGGGAGUGCUCAGAGAUGGGUGUGCCUCUUUUGGGGUCGGUUCACAGGUGGUGCAUGGCUGUCGUCAGCUCGUGUCGUGAGAUGUUGGGUUAAGUCCCGCAACGAGCGCAACCCUUGUUCACUGUUGCCAGCACGUUAUGGUGGGGACUCAGUGGAGACCGCCGGGGUCAACUCGGAGGAAGGUGGGGAUGACGUCAAGUCAUCAUGCCCCUUAUGUCCAGGGCUUCACGCAUGCUACAAUGGCUGGUACAGAGAGUGGCGAGCCUGUGAGGGUGAGCGAAUCUCGGAAAGCCGGUCUCAGUUCGGAUUGGGGUCUGCAACUCGACCUCAUGAAGUCGGAGUCGCUAGUAAUCGCAGAUCAGCAACGCUGCGGUGAAUACGUUCCCGGG